AGUGAACGCUGGCGGUAGGCCUAACACAUGCAAGUCGAACGGCAGCACAGUAAGAGCUUGCUCUUACGGGUGGCGAGUGGCGGACGGGUGAGGAAUACAUCGGAAUCUACUUUUUCGUGGGGGAUAACGUAGGGAAACUUACGCUAAUACCGCAUACGACCUACGGGUGAAAGCAGGGGAUCUUCGGACCUUGCGCGAUUGAAUGAGCCGAUGUCGGAUUAGCUAGUUGGCGGGGUAAAGGCCCACCAAGGCGACGAUCCGUAGCUGGUCUGAGAGGAUGAUCAGCCCACCUGGAACUGAGACCCGGUCCCGACUCCUACGGGAGGCAGGCGUUGGGAAUAUUGGACAAUGGGCGCAAGCCUGAUCCAGCCAUACUGCGUGGGUGAAGAAGGCCUUCGGGUUGUAAAGCCCUUUUGUUGGGAAAGAAAAGCAGCAGGUUAAUACCCCGCUGUUCUGACGGUACCCAAAGAAUAAGCACCGGCUAACUUCGUG
rnacentral:rRNA from 1 species